rnacentral:rRNA from 1 species
UUCGGGUUGUAAAGCACUUUCAGUAGGGAGGAAGGUAGUGUAGUUAACACCUGCAUUAUUUGACGUUACCUACAGAAGAAGCACCGGCUAACUCCGUGCCAGCAGCCGCGGUAAUACGGAGGGUGCGAGCGUUAAUCGGAAUUACUGGGCGUAAAGCGCAUGCAGGCGGCCUGUUAAGUCAGAUGUGAAAGACCCGGGGCGUUAACCUCGGAAUUGCAUUUGAAACUGGCAGGCUAGAGUCUUGUAGAGGGGGGUAGGAAUUUCAGGUGUAGCGGUGAAAUGCGUAGAGAUCUGAAGGAAUACCAGUGGCGAAGGCGGCCCCCUCGGACAAAGACUGACGCUCAGAUGCGAAAGCGUGGGGAGCAAACAGGAUUAGAUACCCUGGUAG